AGAACGAACGCUGGCGGCAGGCUUAACACAUGCAAGUCGAGCGCCCCUCCUUCAAGCAAGCUUGAAGGAAUUCUUGUCCAAAGAGUUCAAGAAAGCCGGAAAGGCUUUCUUGAUGGAGGGGAGCGGCAGACGGGUGAGUAACACGUGGGAAUCUACCCCUCUCUACGGAACAACUCCGGGAAACUGGAGCUAAUACCGUAUACGCCCCCCUUUAGAGAUAUUGGGGGGGAAAGAUUUAUCGGAGAUGGAUGAGCCCGCGUUGGAUUAGCUAGUUGGUGGGUAAAGGCCUACAAGGCGACGAUCCAUAGCUGGUCUGAGAGGAUGAUCAGCCACACUGGGACUGAGACACGGCCCAGACUCGUACGGGAGCAGCAGUGGGAAUAUUAGACAAGUGGGACGAAAGCUGAUCCAGCAAUGCCGCGUGAGUGAGUGAAGGCCGUUAGGGUAGUAAAGCGUUACGUUUACCCGGA
rnacentral:rRNA from 1 species